rnacentral:rRNA from 1 species
UACGUAGGUGGCAAGCGUUGUCCGGAUUUACUGGGCGUAAAGAGCGCGCAGGCGGUCGUUCAAGUCGCGUGUGAAAGCCCCCGGCUCAACUGGGGAGGGUCACGCGAUACUGAUCGACUCGAAGGCAGGAGAGGGUAGUGGAAUUCCCGGUGUAGCGGUGAAAUUCGUAGAUAUUCGGAAGAACACCAGUGGCGAAGGCGACUCACUGGCCCGUUACUGACGCUGAGGCGCGAAAGCGUGGGGAGCAAACAGG